AGAGUUUGAUCAUGGCUCAGAUUGAACGCUGGCGGCACGCCUAACACAUGCAAGUCGAGCGGUAACAUGGUGUGUAGCAAUACACGCUGAUGACGAGCGGCGGACGGGUGAGUACUACGUAGGAACCUGCCCUUAAGCGGGGGACAACCAAGGGAAACUUUGGCUAAUACCGCAUAAACUCGGAAGAGAAAAGCUGCCCGCAAGGGUGGCACUUAAGGAGGGGCCUGCGUCCGAUUAGUUAGUUGGUGAGGUAAAGGCUCACCAAGACGAUGAUCGGUAACUGGUCUGAGAGGACGACCAGUCACACUGGGACUGAGACACGGCCCAGACUCCUACGGGAGGCAGCAGUGGGGAAUCUUGGACAAUGGGGGCAACCCUGAUCCAGCGAUGCCGCGUGAGUGAAGAAGGCCCUCGGGUCGUAAAGCUCUUUAGGUUGGGAAGAAGUGUGCGUGAUGAAUAAUCACGCAUGUUGACGGUACCGACAGAAUAAGCACCGGCAAACUCUGUGCCAGCAGCCGCGGUAAUACAGAGGGUGCGAGCGUUAAUCGGAUUUACUGGGCGUAAAGGGCGCGUAGGCGGUUAUGAAAGUAUGAUGUGAAAGCCCCGGGCUUAACCUGGGAAGAGCAUCGUAAACUAUGUGACUGGAGUAUAUGAGAGGGUGGUGGAAUUUCCGGUGUAGCGGUGAAAUGCGUAGAGAUCGGAAGGAACGUCAAUGGCGAAAGGCAGCCACCUGGCAUAAUACUGACGCUGAGGCGCGAAAGCGUGGGGAGCGAACAGGAUUAGAUACCCUGGUAGUCCACGCUGUAAACGAUGAGGACUAAAGGUUGGUAGGGGAACCUAUCAGUCUUGAAGCAAACGCGAUAAGUCUUCCGCCUGGGAAGUACGGCCGCAGGUUGAAACUCAAUGAAUUGACGGGGCCCGCACAGCGGUGGAGCAUGUGGUUUAAUUCGAUGCAACGCGAAGAACCUUACCUACCCUUGACAUCCUGC
rnacentral:rRNA from 1 species